rnacentral:tRNA from 1 species
GCCGAAAUAGCUCCGUUGGGAGAGCGUUAGUCUGAAGAUCUAAAUAUCCCUCGUUCGAUCCCUGGUUUCGGCA